rnacentral:rRNA from 1 species
GACGAACGCUGGCGGCGUGCUUAACACAUGCAAGUCGAACGGAAAGGCCCUGCUUGCAGGGUGCUCGAGUGGCGAACGGGUGAGUAACACGUGGGUGAUCUGCCCCUUACUUUGGGAUAAGCCUGGGAAACUGGGUCUAAUACUGGAUAGGACCAUGCUGUAGGUGGUGUGGUGGAAAGAUUAGUUUCGGUAAGGGAUGAGCUCGCGGCCUAUCAGCUUGUUGGUGGGGUAAUGGCCUACCAAGGCGUCGACGGGUAGCCGGCCUGAGAGGGUGGACGGCCACAGUGGGACUGAGAUACGGCCCAGACUCCUACGGGAGGCAGCAGUGGGGAAUAUUGCACAAUGGGCGCAAGCCUGAUGCAGCGACGCCGCGUGGGGGAUGACGGCCUUCGGGUUGUAAACUCCUUUCAGCCAUGACGAAGCCCUUGUGGUGACGGUAGUGGUAGAAGAAGCACCGGCUAACUACGUG